rnacentral:rRNA from 1 species
AUUGAACGCUGGCGGCAUGCCUUACACAUGCAAGUCGAACGGUAACAGGUCUUCGGAUGCUGACGAGUGGCGAACGGGUGAGUAAUACAUCGGAACGUGCCCGAUCGUGGGGGAUAACGGAGCGAAAGCUUUGCUAAUACCGCAUACGAUCUACGGAUGAAAGCAGGGGACCGCAAGGCCUUGCGCGGACGGAGCGGCCGAUGGCAGAUUAGGUAGUUGGUGGGAUAAAAGCUUACCAAGCCGACGAUCUGUAGCUGGUCUGAGAGGACGACCAGCCACACUGGGACUGAGACACGGCCCAGACUCCUACGGGAGGCAGCAGUGGGGAAUUUUGGACAAUGGGCGAAAGCCUGAUCCAGCCAUGCCGCGUGCAGGAUGAAGGCCUUCGGGUUGUAAACUGCUUUUGUACGGAACGAAAAGCCUCUUUCUAAUAAAGAGAGGUCAUGACGGUACCGUAAGAAUAAGCACCGGCUAACUACGUGCCAGCAGCCGCCGUAACAC